GUGAAUUAAGCGGUCUGUGUUGAGCGACAUGAAUUCCUUUACUGCGUGGCGUUCCAAAGGCGAUUCUCACCCGGGUGUCGCCUGUGCUGUGGCUCUCCUCUAUGCCCAAGAAACAGGUCUGCAUCCAGGUAAUGAUGGCAUCUGAAUCUUGACAAAUGGUGUGAAGGGAAACAUGGAGGAUGCAAGGAAGAAAAUUAUCUCUGGAUCUUGGGUAACGCUUAACGAUGCCCAGCUUUCUGCUGGAGAGCUGGAACUCUCGUGGUACCUGAGUACUUGUGCACAUAUCAGGGGUCAAAAGAGAUGGCCCAGUGGGCCCAGACGUGUAAGUAACUUUCUCUUCCCUUUUGGUCACCACAGGCUUGGUGGGAAUUUCCACUACAGAAAGAGAAUCAAAUACCCCAGCCACUAUGCCAUGAAAUGCAACCUCUGGCUUCGCAACCUCUGUGAGUUGCUGAAUUCUUCCUUCCAAGUUGCUCGCCAACUACCAGACUCUCUGCGCAAGAUCAGCCAUCGCCAUUGUUCUCGUCUCUGAAAAUUGUUCUGUCAAUGAAAUGAUCUACCAUGAAGGACAUCUGUGGAAACACAGUCUGUGACGAGAGCCCAUGAAUAAUUUCCACGUGCUCCUGCCAGUCUUUUAAGCUGCGCGUCCUUGAGUCACAGAGACAUGGCUGGGCAGCUGAAAGUGUCACCGAGUAUUCCGUGGACACCACAGUUCACUCAAGUGUUAACUGCUCACAAGGAUACACAGCCAGCCUCCCCCAAACAUGAGGCGAUCCAACUGUGUUCUUCCCAUGAGAAGCCAAAGGCAUCUCUCCCCAAGCACAAAGUAGUAAAGAGCCCUGGAUGCCUGGUUCCUAUUCCUGGGAGCGUAUGCAAUUACUCUGUCACCCUGGUGGCCAACGCUGACUGUCCUAUCAGCAUGACUCCUGAUUAUCAGCUCCCCAUCUGCAUGAAAGUAAAAGCCAGCUCAUCCUAUUAACCGGCUCCGAAUCCUCCACUGGCUUCCCCUUUCACUAGAAUAAAACCCUAAAUCUUUACAAUGACCUGACAACAUAAUUCUCCCCCGUUCCCUCCGCCGAAACUGCUGUUAUUUUGCCGGCUUUGUGCAUUACUCAUCCUCUCUAGACCAGUUUGCUAGGGCUGCCGUAACAAAAUACUCCAGAAUGGGUGAUGGAAACAACAGAAACUUAUUUUCCCACAGUCAUGGACGCUCACGGUGUCACCGGAUUUAGUUUCUUCCGAAAUGUCUCUCCUUAGCUUGAACGUGGCCAUCUUUUCACUGUGUCCUCACAUGGUCUUUCCUCUGGUGUCUCUCUGUGUCCAAAUAUCCUCUUUUAAUAAGGACACCAGUCAGACAGGAUUAGGGCUCACACCUUCAUUUUAACAUAGUCAUCUCUUUAAAAGGAUCUAUCUUCAAACACAGUCAUAUUCUCACAUACCAGGGGUUAAGACUCCAGCACAUGAAAUCAGAGGGGACAGGAUUCAGCCCAUGGCACCCUUGAUCAUUCUGCUGCAGCCAACCUGACUUUCCGCAAGUCAUUCAAACAUACCCUUGCCUUUACGCCAUCUAUUCCUUACCUCUCACACACUGCAAAUCCAAUAAAGUCUGCCCCGCUCUUUAAGGAUGCGCCUGCAACCUAACAGACAUUUCAACCCUUGGCUAGAACACUAUAAGAUUUAUCCUAAGUUUCUUUUGGUCUCCUAGUUUCUCACUUUUUCAAUUUGUUCCCCUUUGCCUCCUUAAGUCUUCACUCUACUGC
rnacentral:lncRNA from 9 species